rnacentral:rRNA from 1 species
AUGGAGUGCUCACACUACAAGGCGUUCAGAUUCGAGAAUCAUUGGCUAAAAGCUCAAGGUUUCGAUGACAUUGUCAACCAGGCAUGGACCAGGGAGGUCAAAUCAACGGACCCAGUGAGGGUGCUGCACACCAAGCUAUCCAGAACGGCGAGGGCUCUGCGGUUGUGGAACAAGCAGCAUACGAAGUGGGCUGUUUUCAUGUCGAAGGUGGCAAGCGAAGUCAUUUUCAGGCUUGAUCUGGCCCAGGAGGAAAGAGCUCUUUCUGACGAGGAGCGUCGGUUGCGUGGUCUGCUCAAGGUCUAG